ACUCCGACCGACUGAGGCAAGACCGGUUUUUAAACCUCUUGCGACGGCUUACGUAAGCCGUCGCAAGAGGCUUCAAAACCGGACUUGUCUCAGUUGGUCGGAG
rnacentral:pre_miRNA from 1 species